CCGGCCCAGUAGUUAACCAAUCAUCAUUCGGCAAAGGUAUACGUCAUCCACUUCUAGCGACGCGCAGUUGGGAUUUUGGAGGACUGCAUGGGGGCCCGUCUGCGGUGGGUGAAAGCCCUUCUUCCCCCGUCUGGACGGAAACGUGUACGCUAACGAAGACAUUUACGUGAAGUGGAAGAGGAGGAAGGUGGGCCAGGAGUAGAGGAUGGAAAUAACGUAAGGAAGAUGUCAUUUAGUUCUGGUCCAAUUCAGCCGCAGGGAACGCAGCACGGAGCAGCAGUCUGGUGGACGCACAGCGGCCCACAAAUACAAGAGGAAAUGAAUCCGCUGCUUGUCGGCAAGAGACGGCUGGAAGAAUGGUUGUCGCGGCUUUGGAGCUGGAGAAGUUGUUGUACCUGUACCUGACUCGACAGCGCCGCCUCAUGGAAAUCAACAUAAGCGUCGACCUAACAGGCAGGUGAUGAGGAAAUUUCAGAAACUGAGAAUUCUGGUAGCAGAGCACAACCGGAGCUGCGGUCUCGUUUCAGGUCUGAUGGACUGACGCAGAAGAGGAGCUUGCAGCUCUGGAAGCUGGACAAAUAAAGUUGAUGAAGAAGAGGAGACUGUGAACUGUCAGCUUUGUACACACACACACACACACACACACACACACACACACACACUGGAGUUGUCCUUAUUUGAACUUUUUCUUGUAUUCUGGUGUGUUUUCCUUUAUAGAUGGCUAAGCCCAAGUACAUGAAUAACACAGAAGUUCUGCUGGAUAUAUUGCAGAUGGGGCUGAAUGAAAGUUUUCACUGUGUUUACUGCUUUGCUACCAGUUCACAAUAUUGAACUAUUUGUUCCCCAUUUCCAGGAAAAUUGGGCUCAGUGUGCCUCCCUGCACCUGAUGACAGAAAAAGCACAGUGGGGAUGGAAGCUGAUGUUGAGAGGAGACAGGGUAUACCCUGGACCAUCUAUUCCAGAAAGACAGAAAACCAUUCAUGCUCACAUCCCAGACCAUCUUAGAAUCGUGUGUCAAAAUAACACUCACAUUUUGGAUGUUGGGAACACCUGAAACAAACCCACACAGGCAAAAAGAGAAUUUGCAGCCUUCUUUUUGGUGGGUAACAGUACCAAAACAAAUCAUUUUAAUCUGAAUAAUUUGAAUGUCUUCACACUUAAUAUUAUUUUUCUGUGUUUGUGUAUUUUUACAUUAGAGGCUUCAUGCAUUCUGCAUAUUGUGAAGUGUUUUGAAAACUUGUUUAUUUGGGACCGAGCUUGGUGUUUGUGAAAAACUGAACACUGAAUUUAAUUUUCUUCACCUGCAAAUAGAACUUGAAUUAAAAAUAAAUAAAUAUUUCACCUAGUAAAACUGGAGCUGAGUGGUAUGACCGCAUACUUUUGUGGUUUCAUAGCAUAUCACAGAAUCAUUUUAUGUUUUUUCUGACAGAUUUGUAAUGGUUUACACAUAAUUAGAAAAAACAUAUUAAACCAUUGGAAUGCCAUUAGAAUACAAAAGUAAAGAAAAACAUUCAACCAAAACAAUAAAUAAAAUGGACUCUGUUAUCAAAAGUUGCAUUUAAGUAAAUAUUAAACAACUGGCGCAGGGCUAUAAAGUAACUCAGUCCCUAACAGGGUGCCUGUUGUUUUAAUGUUACUUAUAUUUCCACUGUGUUUAAUAAAAGUCGACAUACAAGCUCAUUCAGCUGCCCCAUAGCAAAGCUGUGAAGUACACUUUUAAAAGCAAGUCCGAUUACUCCUCCAAGCUUUGUGGCUGGAAUUAUGCAUUUACUAAGAAAAACAGAAAACGUUUGCAUGGAUAACACGUUAUCUUUAUUCCACCUCAACACUAUUUUUGAAGGCUAAGCCCAAAGACUGCGUAUUAAAGUUGAACAUUUGACAUCUUUACCCACUGGUGCUGAACUUCCCAUUUUGAAGCCACAUUUUGGCCACCGCUAUGUUGACUUUUGGAGCGAGAAGGAACCAUGAUUUGAUGAGAGGGUAGAGGGUCCAGUUGUCAGGUAUGGCUUGCAAGCUUGAUUAGGAAACUGCAUUAAUAAACUGUAUUGUGCAAUGUUCAAAUGCAUACAUGGACUAAUUAGUACUAACUCCCUCUUAUUUUAAAAUGUGAUCUGACAAAUUCACUGAAAAAAAGUGUAUUGUCAUUUGUUUCUCUUGCACUCCUAUGAGAUUUCCUUAUGACUCCUUAGGACUCAGACUCUCUGCACCAUUAAAUAGAAACAUGGACAUGCUGUCCAGUAAGCAGCUUAAACCACUGUUUGACAUCACAACUUCACAUUUUGUUGAAGAAACAUGAAUAUGUCUUAAGAAGAAAAAAUUUAAGCUGUGAUUCUGGUAAUUAUUAGUUUGCAUGUUUGCAUCAUCUACAAUCAGAGCACAACUAGGCAGAAAUUGUACAAGAAGUUACUGUGUUAGCUGCCGUAAGUAUUUUGGACCCAUGAUGCAUUGAAAUAUAGAUUUAAACUUUAAAAAAAAGAACAAAAAAACAAAAACAACACAAGAUGUUGCCGUAAAUUAUUACUUUAUAAUUACACCAGUUUGUUACAUUGGGCAAAAAUUUAACAAAUAUUGGGCAUUAAUGGUGUUUUCCAUUUCUUUCUAAUUCUUGAAAUGAUUACAGUAGUAGUAGAGGCCACCAUAGCAUUAAGGUGAGUGUUAUCAGCAGUAUUAUUGAUAAUGUCAUAAUUCAUUGAUAGCUACUUGAUUGCAUCCACAAGGUUUGCAUGUAAGGCCUUCAUAAAAUUUCUAUAACACAAAUUCAGCAUAAUAUUAUGCUCCAGGAUGACUAUCAGUAUAACUGGCACUUGUAGAGCUGUCUUCACAGACACACCACAUUGUCUUACUUUCAGACUUAUCUGUGUUUAAGGUGUAAGACAGAUGGUAAAGAGUGAGGUCCACUCUAAAAUAUCACCUUACAAUAAAUAAAUUAAUCUACUUACCCAGUUGGGAUGUUGAUAAGAUUAUAAAAAGUUGCUGGAGAUUUCUACAUGUUAGAAUAGAAUGAUGGUAGUCAAAAGUAGAUCCGCCUUCCUCGACACGAAGAUCACCCUAUUUCACUGCAGGCUAAAUGUGACACCCUUGGUCAUCAUUUUGCACGAGAAGCAACCCACAAGGCUCCAGUGUGCAGCUUUGAUCAGAAACACAUGCUGCUGCAAUAGCCAACCUCCAUUCAUUUUUCAGAAGAGGCGAGGAGGAAAAGGAAGGACACUGGGGAAAAGGAAAGCAAUCCUCACUGUGAAAAUAGAACAAAUAUGGAGUGGGAAAGGUGGGGAAACAGAAGGAAAUAAACAAGAGCAGGAACUGGAAGAUGACAAAAAAGACAGCGAGUAUGGUAGUAAAGGAAGGAGGCAGUGAGGACAGUCCCCAUGCUGCAGCGUGCACCAUGUUGAGACAGCAACAUUUGUCUUGCGCCACAUUGUCUCCAGCUUCAUCUCUGCUCUCUGCCUUGCUCUUCGCCUGAGAAUCUGUUUCCUUUUCCUCCCUCUCUUUCCCACGUUCACAUUUUACCAUGGGGUAAUCGACCAUCUUGUUUAUUUGUGGUUAGAGAAAGUGGAGGAGGCAGUUGUACAAGGUAUGUAUAUUACUACAGAGCAUGGUUUUAUGGUGGCUGAAUUGCCCUUUAUUGCCUAUUGGUGGUCAACAAAGGAUACCCCAAAGGAAGGUCUGUGCCUCAUGGAAUGUCUGCUCUGUUGUCCUUCCUGUCUGUUGCAUUCUCUUUUAAUACCCUCAAAGCAGAAUUUAAGACUGAACUGAAACAAAUGUAAAAAUCUUUUUGUGUAUGUGUUCUUCACAGGCAUUCAGGUCUACAAAACAUCCCUGGAUAUGAUUCCAAACUUCUUUUUGUAUCAGAGUCACAGCUGGAUAUUCAUUAAGCCGAGCAGGAACCUGGUGCUGAAGGGAUUUUACUUGUUAGAUAUGAUUUAUAGCAGCAGGCUGACCUCCUGCUGCUGGAUUCAGCCACAUGCAAUCCAAUUAUUUGAUCAAAACCAGAGAAAAGCAAUACUGUAAGGCUUGCACCUAUCACAUAAAAACCCUAAGCGAGUUAUUGUACGUGUGCGACAGCUAAAAUGCUGUCAAUUAACAUGGAUUUACAUUCACCUUUUUGUUUUUUUUUUAGAUGAAAAGAAAAAUCUAUAUGUAAAAGAGUUUGAGAAAAUUGCUCUGUAAAUUCUGAAAGAUUGAAGUCCCUAUUUAGACACAGCUGUGGCUCAGGAGGUAGAGUGGGUCAUCUACUAAUCAUAAGGUUGGCAGUUUGCUCCCCAGCUUCUCCAGUCUGCAUGUCAGAGUAUCCUGAGCCCCGAGGUGCCCCCAGUGCAUCCCUUGGAGUGAGUGUGUACAAAAGUUAGUCAAGGCAGUUAGGUAUAGAAAAGAGUGAAUAUGUGUGUGUGACUGGGUGAAUGAGGCUUGUAGUAAAAAGUACUUUGACUAAUCAGUCAGAGUAGAAAAGUACUAUAUAAGUACCAGUGCAUUUACACUUUUGAUAUAAAAUUGAUUUUGUUAAAUGAUUGUUAUGUAAAAUUUUUCAUUAAUAACACUUUCCACUGCCAAUGUCUGAAUGGAUUAUAACCAAGUAAAAAAGUGAAAAAAUAAUAAACCUUCAAAAACUCUGUUGCCUCUACCAGCAUAGAGUGGCUUCUAUGUGAAGGACUGAGGACAUUUUUUAUGUGAAAAUCUAAAGGAUGUGAAGGAUGUUUGCUCCUGAGGGCCUUGCACAAAUGCCUCUAUUUCAGUCCCAGGGUCAAAAAUAAGUAACAUGAACUAACUGUAGCUUAGAAACAGAGUCCACUAAUCACUAAAUUAGCAACAACACUAUAUAACACAGACUCUAACACAAACUUUACAAGUUCAACAAAAUAAACACUGAUGUGACUAAAGACAGUGUUUUGUUAGCAAGCAAACUAGCAGCUAGUCGCUAAAUUGAGUAUCACAAUUCAUAUGCAUUAAAAAGUAAACAAAAAUUUUUUUUCUAGUGAACAUUUGAGAAAAUGGGAGUUGGACUGUCAGCAACAGAGCAUUCACUGAAGGGCAGUUUGGUUUUGGGCUCAAACCUGACCCUGACCGGCCUUCGUUCUGGCUAAUGUUUGCUAACUUUUCUAUAGAAAAUUUUUUUGCUCUAUGAGUCAGCGGAGCAUUUAUCUUGCAUCAAGUGCUUUGUAACAUCCAAGUCAACUUUGUUGUUAUACUGUCAUGCACACAUAGGUCUAUGUUGGUCUCGCUUAUUGUACAAUUUAUUUGACAUACAGUAGCAUUAAAGGUGCUACAUAAUAGUACAGGACAGUCUUGUGCGUGUGCCUUAUUACUGUUUUGGCUCAAGCACAAGUAUGAGUUCGACACAAAUGCAAGCAAAAUAAUGCUGCCACUGUCAGUUCACUUAAUGGGUUAUGCAGAGCUCCUUUAACUUCACAUCCCUACAAUGAGUCCAUAUCUCAAAGCAAGUUUAAUCAGUGGCAUAUCAAUGAAAAUACACAAAUAGAUGCAAAUGUUUCCAGGACAGUUUGAACUAAUACAAAGAUGCAAGUACUUAAGUUUCAAGUAUCUUCAUAUGAAUCAGCUUUGUAAACAUACAAUGACCAGACAAAAGAGCAGAGAGAACAGUGGGAUAAAGAGACUUCAUUUCAUUUUAAUUUAUAUAGUGCCAAUUCACAGCAACUCCUGCCUCAAGGCACUUUAUAUGGUAGGCUAUAGGCCCUACAAUAUACAGACAAAAACAAAGAAAAAAACCCAACAACAAUCAGAUGACCACCUAUGAGCAAGCGCUUUUUGACAAUGGGAAGGAAAGACUCCUUUUAAAUAGGAAGAAACCUCCAGCAGAACCAGGCCCAGGGAGGGGCAGCCAUCUGUCACAACUGGUUGGGGUGAGGGGAAGAAAAGAGCAAAUAACAUACUGUGGAAGACAGAGGCAGAGUUUAGUAAUUACUAAGAAUUAAAUGCAAUAGUGGUGUAUGAAAACAAGACUGAGCUGAACACAGUCACACAAAGGCAUGCUGCCAGAAGUUGGAUGCUAGCACACAACAGAUGUCAGUAAAGCUGGCACAUUUGGAUGUUGCAAAUACAUAGCCUGUAGACAUUUAAGGGCAUUUUUUAAAUUUUUUGUUACUGGUGUGACCAUCAGUUCUUCUGGUAUGAUAAUACUGUAAUCCAAUAAGUUGUUUACCACAUCCAGCUUAAAAUCUCAGAGAAAAAAAAUAUGAUGUUGGGAUUGUUAUAUCACACACAAAUAUCUAAUAUAUAUCUCUAAAGUGAAUCAAAAUUCAUUAAAAAUAAAUAACUCCAAAAGACAAAAAAUAGAAACAAAAUUUACUGAUAAAUGAUGAGUUAUUAGAACAUUGAACAUUGUUAAAACAGUUUAACACUGUCUCCUCAGGCGGGGCCAGCUCAGGACCACAGUGAGCAGUCUCUGGCUGAGAAACACAAUCUACAGUCUCUGAGGAACACAAACAGUCUAUAGGGUAGCCUGCUCUGUGGCAAACAGCCUUUUCCACAGUGGGUUUCAAAACACAAGGCUCAGAUCUGUUAGGUUCAUGAACAUUCAAUUCAUAUGCUGCAGUGUCACAAAAGAGAAAUGAUUUCUUAAAGCAGGAGGCUCAAACAUAUUUAACUCAGAGAUCUUGCCAGACUUAGAAACAGUGAAGUCGGUAUUUAACUUUGAUAAUGAAGGAGAACCCUCAAAAAUGGGAUACACAGCCUCGUCAACUGGCUCUGAAACAAAAACCCCAGUACUGUUAUUGGCCAGUUUGGGAACAGAAAAUAUUUGAUUAUUGUCCAGCUUUGAAACAAAACACUCAGCUCAUACACUUCCCAGCUCAGGAAAUGCAGUCUUACUGGAGGUGGACUCAAAAACAUAAAACACCUUCCCAUUGUUGGCUGGCUCCUGAAGAGAAAACUCUGGCUUGGAAACAAACGUCAUUAUUCCCAAAGUUUCAGGCUCAGAGAACCGCAAAGGGAAAAAUCCAUUUUAGUUACCACUGAGGGUAGUUCAGGUGAUCCAGUGUGAAUGGAGAAAUGAGCUGUUUUCUAAUUCAGUGAAGCGAGCUGCUCUUAAAUGGGACAGUCUAGUCUUCAGAUUUGUUUCACCAGCUGUUCUCGCCCUUAGCCCUUUACACCAUCCAUGACAGCAGGCAACAUUAUGGAGCCAGAAAUUUUGCUUGUUUUCUUUUUGAUGUUUCUAUUAUUAAAGAACUACAGCAGUUCUACCAUUGGUGCAGAUGGAUAAUAUAUCUCUGACUGGGAGGUAACCAUAAUUAGGGUCACUGAAAAAUAUGUUUUGAUUUGGUUUUUCUUCAGAUUUUUGGUUUGAAUCUAUGGUUUUACUGGAAAGUGAAAAACUUUUUACUAGUUCAUAAAAGUGGGCAUAAAACACUACAUGGAUAAAGGCAAAUUCACACCAUGGAGCCCUACUCUAAAAAAACUGUCAUAGAUUUAGUAAUGUCUGUGAAACUGGAUUCAAGCAUAAAUAUUUAAAGUUAAAGCUUUAAGAGCAGGUGUAGCGCCAUCUUAUGCCAGUACACAGCAACACAUUAUGAGGUUGGUUGGUACCACUAACGGACUUAUGUUAGCUAACUGAUAACUCAGUGGAAAACAAGGAAAGUAACACUAAAAAGCAGUCUAGGAGGGUCACUUUUGUACUCCCCCAGGCUGCAGCAAUGGGUUUUAUGUUAAAAAUCAAAGAAGAUGCAGCAGAGAAUGAGGGUGAGACUGGUUUCUAGGCAGUGAGUGUUGCUCUCUGGUGGGACCAGCUGUCUGCUGAGGUGUCUGCCCAUGACCAUGAUUAUUGUUAGCAGGCUAGUAUUCCUGUUCAUCAUGCAUUGUUAAAGUGCUUGAAUAUUAGUACUAAUAUCAUAUCAACAGCAUUUUGUAUGCACCAAUUUCUACUUUUGUCUCUUUAUGAAUACAUAAAGUGGCGUGGCAGCUGUCACUUGAGUCAGCCAUGCAGACCCGGGGGAUGGAUGAUGUGGUGGACAGUGGAACGAAGCAACCGAAAGCACCCUCUGGAGAGCACCCUGUAUGAUGCUUCACUCACCAGUUAGAAAAGAAGGUCUCAGUUGUGGUGCCUCAUCCAUUUCGCCGAUCCUGGUUCAGCAGAUUUAGCAGCACUACCGGAGACUCCCCGCUCAGCCGGCAAACCAAAGCAAAACAAAGCAAAACAAAAAUCCUGUCCCUACUGGGACACUCAGGUUCAUUCUGGAGUUUUCACAAGCUUGUUUGUUUUCUUUUCGACUGUGUUGUGCUUUAUUACAUUUGCACAUUUUCAUUAUU